rnacentral:tRNA from 1 species
GCCCGGAUAGCUCCGUCGGUAGAGCAGAGGAUUGAAAAUCUUCGUGUCGGCGGGUCGAUUCCGUCUCCGGGCACCA